UACGUAGGUGGCAAGCGUUGUCCGGAUUUACUGGGUGUAAAGGGCGUGCAGCCGGGAAGACAAGUCAGAUGUGAAAUCCCGCGGCUCAACCGCGGAACUGCAUUUGAAACUGUUUUUCUUGAGUACCGGAGAGGUCAUCGGAAUUCCUUGUGUAGCGGUAAAAUGCGUAGAUAUAAGGAAGAACACCAGUGGCGAAGGCGGAUGACUGGACUGUAACUGACGUUGAGGCUCGAAAGCGUGGGGAGCAAACAGG
rnacentral:rRNA from 1 species